ACUCAAAUGAAUUGACGGGGACCCGCACAACCAGUGGAGCGUGUGGUUUAAUUCGAGACGAAGCGAAAAACCUCACCAAGGCUUGACAUGCUAGAGUUCUAGCCUCCCCAAAAGGAGGCAAUCCGUAAGGAGACUAGCACAGGUGCUGCAUGGCUGUCGUCAGCUCGUGCCGUGAGGUGUUCCCUUAAGUGGGGAAACGAGUGCAACCCUUGUCUAAUGUUAAAUAUUCAUUAGAGACUGCCUCGACUUUGUCGAGGAGGAAGGAAAGGCGGACGUCAAGUCAGCAUGGCCCUUAUGCCUUGGGCUACACACACCCUACAAUGGCGAAUAACAAUGGGUUGCGAGCUCGUAAGAGCAAGCUAAUCUCAGAAAUUUCGCCUCAGUUCAGAUUGAGGUCUGAAACUCGACCUCAUGAAGUUGGAAUUGGUAGUAAUCGCGGAUCAGCGGGCCGCGGUGAAUACGUUAUCGGGUCUUGUACACACCGCCCGU
rnacentral:rRNA from 1 species